UAUAUAUAUAUAUAUAUAUAUAUAUAUAGAGAGAGAGAGAGAGAGAGAGAGAGAGAGAGUUGAGCUGGAAUGUUAUCGGUAGCAAACCGGCUCCGUUGCCACCCAUUUGUUUUCGAUGAUGGAGCCUUUAAAUUGACAAUCGGCACCCUUGAACAUAAUCUAUACCACUUGAAGUAUCUAAAAACCAAAUUUCAAAUCUUUUCGACAUUAUUGACCUAUUGAUCAAAGGGUUUCAAAAUUUGUAAUUUUAAUGGUAGAUAUGAGACGUUUUCUCGUUUAACGGUGUAAAGCUAUCCAAAUCAAUUGAAUUUUGGUUAAAAAAUUCUUUAAACUAUUUAGAAUAAGAUCUAUACUCUCGAUCUUAAUUACAAAAUUUCUAUCAUCACCUUUUAGAGGAUAUUCAUUUUCAACCGUUCAUUUUUACGCCCACUUGAUGGACAAGAGAACAAUAUCAAAAAAGUAUAAAAUUUGAUUUCUAGAUACUUCAAGUGAUAUAGAUCAUAUUCAACGGUGCCGAUCAUCGAUUUGGAGGCUCCAUCAUUAAAAACAAAUGGGUGGCAACGGAGUCCGUUUGCUACCGAUAGUAUUCUAGCUCAACUCUAU
rnacentral:lncRNA from 1 species